rnacentral:rRNA from 1 species
GACGAACGCUGGCGGCGUGCUUAACACAUGCAAGUCGAACGGAAAGGCCCUGCUUGCAGGGUACUCGAGUGGCGAACGGGUGAGUAACACGUGGGUGAUCUGCCCUGCACUUCGGGAUAAGCUUGGGAAACUGGGUCUAAUACCGGAUAGGACCGCACUUUAGUGGGUGUGGUGGAAAGUUUUUUCGGUGUAGGAUGAGCUCGCGGCCUAUCAGCUUGUUGGUGGGGUAAUGGCCUACCAAGGCGGCGACGGGUGGCCGGCCUGAGAGGGUGUACGGCCACCCUGGCACUGAGAUGCGGCCCCGACUGCUACGGGAGGCAGCAGUGGGGAAUAUUGCACAAGGGGCGCCAGGCUGAUGCAGCGACGCCGCGUGUGGGAUGAAGGCCUUCUGGUUGUAAACUCCUUUCGCUAGGGACGAAGCUUUUUGUGACGGUACCUAGACAAGAAGCACCGGCUAACUACGUG